rnacentral:rRNA from 1 species
AUUGAACGCUGGCGGCAGGCCUAACACAUGCAAGUCGAGCGGAUGAAGGGAGCUUGCUCCUGGAUUCAGCGGCGGACGGGUGAGUAAUGCCUAGGAAUCUGCCUGGUAGUGGGGGAUAACGUCCGGAAACGGGCGCUAAUACCGCAUACGUCCUGAGGGAGAAAGUGGGGGAUCUUCGGACCUCACGCUCUCAGAUGAGCCUAGGUCGGAUUAGCUAGUUGGUGGGGUAAAGGCCUACCAAGGCGACGAUCCGUAACUGGUCUGAGAGGAUGAUCAGUCACACUGGAACGGAGACACGGUCCAGACUCCUACGGGAGGCAGCAGUGGGGAAUAUUGGACAAUGGGCGAAAGCCUGAUCCAGCCAUGCCGCGUGUGAGAAGAAGGUCUUCGGAGUGUAAAGCACUUUAAGUUGGGAGGAAGGGCAGUAAGUUAAUACCUUGCUGUUUUGACGUUACCAACAGAAUAAGCACCGGCUAACUUCGUG